GUAACGGCGAGUGAAGCGGCAACAGCUCAAAUUUGAAAGCUGGCCCCCCCGGGGGUCCGCGUUGUAAUUUGUAGAGGAUGAUUCGGCGAGGGCUCCCGCCUAAGUCCCCUGGAACGGGGCGUCAUAGAGGGUGAGAAUCCCGUAUGCGGUGGGCUGCCUUAGCCAUGUGAAUCUCCUUCGACGAGUCGAGUUGUUUGGGAAUGCAGCUCUAAAUGGGAGGUAAAUUUCUUCUAAAGCUAAAUACCGGCCAGAGACCGAUAGCGCACAAGUAGAGUGAUCGAAAGAUGAAAAGCACUUUGGAAAGAGAGUUAAAAAGUACGUGAAAUUGUUGAAAGGGAAGCGCUUGCAGCCAGACUUGUCCGCAGUUGCUCAGCCGGUCUCCUGACCGGCGCACUCUUCUGCGGCCAGGCCAGCAUCAGUUCGGGCGGUCGGAUAAAGGCCCCGGGAACGUAGCUCCUCUCGGGGAGUGUUAUAGCCCGGGGUGGAAUGCGGCCAGCCUGGACUGAGGAUCUCGCUUCGGCUAGGAUGCUGGCGUAAUGGCUGUAAGCGGCCCGUCUUGAAACACGGACCAAGGAGUCUAACAUCUAUGCGAGUGUUUGGGUGUCAAACCCAUGCGCGUAAUGAAAGUGAACGGAGGUGGGAACCCUCGCGGGUGCACCAUCGACCGAUCCUGAUGUCUUCGGAUGGAUUUGAGUAAGAGCAUAGCUGUUGGGACCCGAAAGAUGGUGAACUAUGCCUGAAUAGGGUGAAGCCAGAGGAAACUCUGGUGGAGGCUCGCAGCGGUUCUGACGUGCAAAUCGAUCGUCAAAUUUGGGUAUAGGGGCGAAAGACUAAUCGAACCAUCGACUACUAGGUGGUUAAGAGGUGGCUGAAAGUGCCCACCUAGUCCCCCCGUCCUCGGACGGGGGGGCGACAUCGCCAAAUUGCGGGGACUCCCUUAGAGCCUCUACUACCGCGGCCGGCCGAAAGGCGCGGUGCAGCACCGGGUUAAUUGCCUAGGGUACGGUAAAAAGGUAGAGGAUUGGGAAAUCCGCAGCCAAGCGCCUAAGUCCCGCGGGAUACGGCGAAGGUUCAGAGACUAGAUGGCGGUGGG
rnacentral:sRNA from 1 species